AUGAUAGGUCUAUUUUGGAAUGCUAGGGGCCUGAAUGGGCCUCAUAAGAACUUGAGGGUGCAAGAGCUUAUUAAAGCACAUUGCCCUGAUUUUAUUUGUAUUUCUGUAACAAAGAAAAAUGAUUUUACUUUGUCACAACUGGAAACCUUAGAUUCCAGAAAUGGGUACUUUUGGAAAUGGCUGCCUGCAGUUGAUACAGCUGGAGGCAUCCUAAUAGGCAUUAAGGAUGACACAUUUGAGAUUUUAUCUUGUGACAUCCAUAGUUUUUGUGUUUCUUGUCUUCUCAGAUGCAGAAAUAACAAUAAAGAGUGGAGACUUAUCUCUGUUUAUGGCUCUGCUUAUGAUGAGGGUAAGCUUGAUUUUAUUAAUGAAUUACACAGUGUAGCAGAUGGAUGGGAUGGUCCUACCAUUAUAGGUGGUGAUUUUAAUCUCAUUAGAAAUGCUGCUGAGAAAUCCACUGGUGCUAUUAAUCACCACUGGGCUGAUUUGUUCAAUGACUGGAUAAAUAAAUUCAGUCUGAUAGAGAUUAGAAAUAUUGGUAGGAGGUUUACUUGGGGUAACAAUCAGGAGGAUAUGAUCAUGGCGACCCUGGACAGAGUUUUUGUAACUACUGAUUGGGAAGCUAUGUUCCCUGCAGUACAUCUUAAGGCUCUACCCAGGGUUGCUAGUGACCAUACUCCUUUGUUGUUGGAUUCUGGUGGUAUUCCUGCUGCUAAGCAUAGGAUGUUUAGAUUUGAAAAAUGGUGGAUUGGUGUGGAGGGUUUUGAUGAACUGAUUCAUAAAACCUGGAACACUAAAUGUCUGCAUACUAAAGCCAUUGAUAUUUGGCAGUUAAAACUAGAUUGA
rnacentral:rRNA from 1 species